GACGAACGCUGGCGGCGUGCCUAAUACAUGCAAGUAGAACGCUGAAGGAGGAGCUUGCUUCUCUGGAUGAGUUGCGAACGGGUGAGUAACGCGUAGGUAACCUGCCUGGUAGCGGGGGAUAACUAUUGGAAACGAUAGCUAAUACCGCAUAAUAGUAGAUGUCGCAUGACAUUUGCUUAAAAGUUGCAAUUGCAUCACUACCAGAUGGACCUGCGUUGUAUUAGCUAGUUGGUGAGGUAACGGCUCACCAAGGCAACGAUACAUAGACGAACUGAGAGGGUGAUCGGCCAAACUGGGACUGAGACACGGCCCAGACGCAUACGGGAGGCAGCAGCAGGGAAUCUUCGGCAAUGGACGGAAGUCUGACCGAGCAACGCCGCGUGAGUGAAGAAGGGUUUCGGAUCGUAAAGCUCUGUUGUAAGAGAAGAAAGAGUGUGAGAGUGGAAAGUUCACACUGUGACGGUAUCUUACCAGAAAGGGACGGCUAACUACGUG
rnacentral:rRNA from 1 species